UAAGAAGGGUGCAAGCGUUAAUCGGAAUUACUGGGCGUAAAGCGUGCGUAGGUGGUUUGUUAAGUCAGAUGUGAAAGCCCUGGGCUCAACCUGGGAACUGCAUUUGAUACUGGCAGGCUAGAGUGCGGUAGAGGGUGGUGGAAUUCCCGGUGUAGCGGUGAAAUGCGUAGAGAUCGGGAGGAACAUUCGUGGCGAAGGCGGCCACCUGGACCAGCACUGACACUGAGGCACGAAAGCGUGGGGAGCAAACAGG
rnacentral:rRNA from 1 species